rnacentral:rRNA from 1 species
AUUGAACGCUGGCGGCAGGCCUAACACAUGCAGGUCGAGCGGAUGAAGGGAGCUUGCUCCUGGAUUCAGCGGCGGACGGGUGAGUAAUGCCUAGGAAUCUGCCUGGUAGUGGGGGAUAACGUCCGGAAACGGGCGCUAAUACCGCAUACGUCCUGAGGGAGAAAGUGGGGGAUCUUCGGACCUCACGCUAUCAGAUGAGCCUAGGUCGGAUUAGCUAGUUGGUGGGGUAAAGGCCUACCAAGGCGACGAUCCGUAACUGGUCUGAGAGGAUGAUCAGUCACACUGGAACUGAGACACGGUCCAGACUCCUACGGGAGGCAGCAGUGGGGAAUAUUGGACAAUGGGCGAAAGCCUGAUCCAGCCAUGCCGCGUGUGUGAAGAAGGUCUUCGGAUUGUAAAACACUUUAAGUUGGGAGGAAGGGCAGUAAGUUAAUACCUUGCUGUUUUGACGUUACCAACAGAAUAAGCACCGGCUAACUUCGUG